rnacentral:rRNA from 1 species
AUGGCGAACGGCGGUGGCCAGAGAGGGGAUGGAGCUGCUCCGGUGAGUUGGGAGGGCUGGGGAGAGAGCGGAGAGGUGCAGAGGGGCUCGGGGCUCCUAUAUAUAGCCGUGGGGAGGCUCGAGAGAGCUCGGGAGAGCUUCGGCAAAGCAACAAUGGAGGUGGGGGCGGUGGUCAGGUCACAGGCACGGCUGCCGGCACUCGAUGACUGCAAAACAGGAGAAGGGCAGAGCACAGUGCGAAGCAGAGGCUCACGGGGAAGCUCUAGGACAAGGAAAUGCAUCGAGAUGAUGAAGGAACGGACGACAACAGCGACCGCAGUUUCCAGAGCGCGCUGUUUGGCACGUCUGCUCCAUGAUCACCGCGUGCACACGACCAUGGCCCGUGCUCUGGGCUGUCAAAACAUGUCCGUGAGAUAG